GCGGCAGGGGUUCUGAUCGCUGGAAGGCUGGUUAAACAGCUUUCCAGAGGAAAGUCCGGGCUCCUUCGGAAAGAAUGCCGGUUAAUGGCCGGGCGGCGGAGGUGAAAGUUUCCGCUGACAGAAAGUGCAACAGAAAUAUACCGCCUUGGAAUAUUCAGGGUAAGGGUGAAAUGGCGGGGUAAGAGCCCACCGCGCUUCCGGUAACGGCGGCGGCAAUGCAAACCUCAUUCGGAGCAAGGCCAAACAGCGGCGGUAAUUCCGAUAUUCCGGGCCUGUAACAGGGUGCGGCCGUUCGCGGGUAGGCUGCUGGAGAUAAAAGGUAACUUUUAUCCGAGAUAGAUGAUCAGGAUGAAAGACAGCUGUCUUUCAUUUACAGAACCCGGCUUACCGCCCCUUCCGCUCUU
rnacentral:RNase_P_RNA from 1 species